rnacentral:rRNA from 1 species
UACAGAGGGUGCGAGCGUUGUUCGGAAUUACUGGGCGUAAAGCGCGCGCAGGCGGCUUCCUAAGUCCGUCGGUGAAAGACCGGGGCUCAACCCCGUGUCAGCCAUGGAUACUGGGAGGCUGGAGACAGGUAGAGGCAAGCGGAAUUCCGGGUGUAGCGGUGGAAUGCGUAGAUAUCCGGAAGAACACCGGAGGCGAAGGCGGCUUGCUGGACCUGGUCUGACGCUGAGGCGCGAAAGCGCGGGGAGCGAACAGG